CAGUCGCCACGGGAAUACGUAGGGGGCAAGCGUUGUCCGGAAUUAUUGGGCGUAAAGUGCGCGCAGGCGGUCAUGUAAGUCUGGUGUUUAAUCCCGGGGCUCAACCCCGGAUCGCACUGGAAACUGGGUGACUUGAGUGCAGAAGAGGAGAGUGGAAUUCCACGUGUAGCGGUGAAAUGCGUAGAGAUGUGGAGGAACACCAGUGGCGAAGGCGACUCUCUGGGCUGUAACUGACGCUGAGGCGCGAAAGCGUGGGGAGCAAACAGGAUUAGAUACCCGUGUAGUCCCUGUCUCUUAUACC
rnacentral:rRNA from 1 species